rnacentral:lncRNA from 1 species
UCUCCUGCCUCAGCCUCCCAAGUAGCUGGGAUUACAGCUCUCUGCAUGUGACACGCUGACUCCCCUUCUGCCAUGAUUGUAAGUUUCGUCACUAGAAGCAGAUGCCGACACUAUGCUUCAUGUACAGCCUGCAGAACUGUGAGCCAAGAACUAUGUACUGAAGAUUUGGGGGCAAAAGAGGACCACAUCUGCAACUAACUGGAGAUGGUUCAGAAGAUGAUGCACACACACUCAAGCAUAUCGAGAGAGAAAGGGGCAGAGGACACAGAAGGCCCUGAGUUUAAUGUGCAUGUUUUGGGGAAUUUGGAAGAAGAGCCCCUGAUAAUUCAUCCUUCAUUAUUCUUGCAACUUUUCUCUAAAUCUGAAAUUAUAUUAAAAUAUAAAGUUAGAAGAAAACA